GUGGAGGCCUGAAGGUGGUGCUGGGUGGCACCAUUAAACACUCUUCCGUCUCAUUUGCUGAGGCAAGGUCUGACAGACCAAUCAGAGCUUCCCAUAAGGCUCAUCUCUCUAGGCGGCUUGCUCUGAUGAAUCCCGUCUCUGCCUUUUGAGGCUGGGAGUAGCUGUGGGCUACAACAUCCAGCCAGCAUUUCCUGGAUUCUGGGAAUCUGAACUCUGGGCCUCAUCGUACAUAACAAACGCCUUAACGGCUCAUUCAUCUCUUUGGCUUCAACUGCCAGCCAAGUCAGUUUUCUCAUCUUACCGAAAUAUCUGCAUGCUGAUCGCUCUGGAGCAUUUAUUAAAAAAUUCAGAGCCCCGAGUCUCUGGAGAGAGAGCCAAGGAAACUACAUUGUAAACAAACGAGUGAGUUUGAAGCCCAUAGUGCUAAGGUGGUACAUGGCUCAGACUUCUUUAGGACAUGCGCUCCUGGAUCAGGAGGUGUAAGCUAACUGAGUCAGCACAGGACUUUUGUCCUAGAAGAUGAUGAAAUGCUUUCCCGACUGAGUACAAAACUGGGACUGCAGCCACUUGGCCUGCUUUGAAAAGGGAAUACCAGGGAAGUAUAUUCAUUUCAUCCUUUCUAAACAACGGAUCCAGGAGACAGGUCUUAGAGUGGGAGACUGGAGUCACAGCCUGAGAAGUUGACCGUGGGAAGCAGGUGUUGCAUGUAGAGUGGCCCUACAGAUGUGUCAAGAACGGGGACCAACUUGAUCUCGCUCACCACAUGAUCAUGUCUCUUGAUUGUGACCAAACGUUCCUUUGUGUGGGGACUGUCAAAUCCCAUGGCUGUUGAAAGGAAAACAAACAUCUUCUGAUGGUCACUGCCCUUCAAAAUCUCCAGGUGAGAUUGCCUGAGCUCGUAUGCCUCUAUGCUUCAAGGCUGACUCUUCACCAGUCAGGACUCAGGAGCUGAGGAUGUGCGGGGAUACGGAUGCCUUUGGAUCCUGUUGCCUUUGGAGCAUAAUAAAACUUCUCAGGAUGCAUACUCCAGACUUGUCAACCACUGGCGGAAUUUUCUUGCAUGCAUCUUCUGUAAUCCUUGUCCAAACAUUCUGGUUUUCCUAGACGACUUAAAAGCAAUCCCUAGUUUUCUGUUUCCAUCCUCUGACAGUCUUCAUCACCCUCUUACCUGCCUUGUUUUCUGAAAAGUUUCUCACUAUUUUGGAUUCUGAAGGUUAGUUUUCUUUACUG